CACCAUUUCUUUUUGCUCAUAUGGUUUUUUAAGUAUACUUGCUUUUAGCGGUUUCCAUUCUUUUUGCCUCACAGGAUGACUUCCAGUAAUGUAGAGAGAUUUUUUAUUUUUUUCCCCAGUAUUGCAGCGUAUUUUCUCUGGGUAGAUCUAUGCUGUCCCUUCUGUUUUUAAUAACUUUCCAUAUGCGGACCUGCAGCCUUCGGUCUUCUGUAUCCUUCAGCCAGGACUCCUGCCUUCUCCACGUUCCCCUCUGCUUGGAC